rnacentral:rRNA from 1 species
GAUGAACGCUAGCGGCAGGCCUAAUACAUGCAAGUCGAACGGUAAGUAGUGUAGCAAUACAUUGCCUAGAGUGACGUACGGGUGCGUAACACGUAUGCAACCUACCUUGUACAGGAGGAUAGCUCGGGGAAACUCGAAUUAACCCUCCAUAAUAUAAUUGGAUGGCAUCAUUUGAUUAUUAAAACUUUGGUGGUACAAGAUGGGCAUGCGUCUGAUUAGUUAGNGGCGGGGUAACGGCCCACCAAGACGAUGAUCAGUAGGGGAACUGAGAGGUUGAUCCCCCA